rnacentral:rRNA from 1 species
CAGCCGCCGCGGUAACACGAAGGGGGCUAGCGUUGCUCGGAAUUACUGGGCGUAAAGGGAGCGUAGGCGGCGGCCAAAGUCAGGCGUGAAAUUCCUGGGCUCAACCUGGGGGCUGCGCUUGAUACUUGGUUGCUUGAGUGGGGAAGAGGGUCGUGGAAUUCCCAGUGUAGAGGUGAAAUUCGUAGAUAUUGGGAAGAACACCGGUGGCGAAGGCGGCGACCUGGUCCUUGACUGACGCUGAGGCGCGAAAGCGUGGGGAGCAAACAGGAUUAGAUACCCGUGUAGUCCCUGUCUCUUAUAC